rnacentral:rRNA from 1 species
AGUAAAAGUCGUAACAAGGUUUCCGUAGGUGGACCUGCGGAAGGAUCAUUAUCGAAUUAUAAGCAAAGGUUGUUGCUGGCCUCUCGGGGCAUGUGCACGCCUGAGCUCUUAAUCCACUUACACCUGUGAACUCAAUGUGGGACGUCUCUCGGGACGAUUCUCAUGUCUUUAUUAUACACCCUGCAUGUCAUAGAAUGUCAUAUGUUGCUUUAACGCAAUUUAAAUACAACUUUCAACAACGGAUCUCUUGGCUCUCGCAUCGAUGAAGAACGCAGCGAAAUGCGAUAAGUAAUGUGAAUUGCAGAUUUUCAGUGAAUCAUCGAAUCUUUGAACGCACCUUGCGCUCCUUGGUAUUCCGAGGAGCAUGCCUGUUUGAGUGUCAUUAAAUUCUCAACCUCACCGAUUUGUUUCGAGUGAGGCUUGGAUUUGGAGUGUGCUGGUCCUUCCCUGGGUCGGCUCCUCUUUAAAUGCAUCAGCGGAGUCUUCUUUGACUUCCGGUAUCAGUGUGAUAAUCAUGUUGCGCUGUUGGCCGAGGUCUUAGUCCGCUUACAAUGGUCUUCGGACAACUUAUCAAAUUUUGACCUCAAAUCAGGUAGGAUUACCCGCUGAACUUAAGCAUAUCAAUAAGCGGAGGAGAAGAAACUAACAAGGAUUCCCCUAGUAACUGCGAGUGAAGCGGGGAAAGCUCAAAUUUAAAAUCUGGCGGUCUCCGGCCGUCCGAGUUGUAAUCUGG